rnacentral:rRNA from 1 species
CCAAUAGCGUAUAUUAAAGUUGUUGCAGUUAAAAAGCUCGUAGUUGAAUUUCGGGACCAAUUUGUCGGUCGUGCCUCGGUACGUACUGGUAUUAUUGGUUUCUCCCUUCUGAAGAACCUUGAUGUCAUUAAUUUGGUGUCUUGGGGAAUCAGGACUGUUACUUUGAAAAAAUUAGAGUGUUUAAAGCAGGCUCGCGCUUGAAUACAUUAGCAUGGAAUAAUGAAAUAGGACGUUUGAUUCUAUUUUGUUGGUUUCUAGGAUUGACGUAAUGAUUAAUAGGGAUAGUUGGGGGCAUUAGUAUUCAAUUGUCAGAGGUGAAAUUCUUGGAUUUAUUGAAGACUAACUACUGCGAAAGCAUUUGCCAAGGAUGUUUUCAUUAAUCAAGAACGAAAGUUAGGGGAUCGAAGACGAUCAGAUACCGUCGUAGUCUUAACCAUAAACUAUGCCGACUAGGGAUCGGAUGAUGUUAAUUUUUUAAUGACUCAUUCGGCGCCUUACG